CGCGGUAAUACGGAGGGUGCAAGCGUUAAUCGGAAUUACUGGGCGUAAAGCGCACGCAGGCGGUCUGUCAAGUCGGAUGUGAAAUCCCCGGGCUCAACCUGGGAACUGCAUUCGAAACUGGCAGGCUUGAGUCUUGUAGAGGGGGGUAGAAUUCCAGGUGUAGCGGUGAAAUGCGUAGAGAUCUGGAGGAAUACCGGUGGCGAAGGCGGCCCCCUGGACAAAGACUGACGCUCAGGUGCGAAAGCGUGGGGAGCAAACAGGAUUAGAUACCCUGGUAGUCCACGCCGUAAACGAUGUCUACUUGGAGGUUGUGCCCUUGAGGCGUGGCUUCCGGAGCUAACGCGUUAAGUAGACCGCCUGGGGAGUACGGCCGCAAGGUUAAAACUCAAAUGAAUUGACGGGGGCCCGCACAAGCGGUGGAGCAUGUGGUUUAAUUCGAUGCAACGCGAAGAACCUUAC
rnacentral:rRNA from 1 species